rnacentral:rRNA from 1 species
UACGUAGGGUGCAAGCGUUAAUCGGAAUUACUGGGCGUAAAGCGUGCGCAGGCGGUUUUGUAAGUCUGUCGUGAAAGCCCCGGGCUCAACCUGGGAAUUGCGAUGGAGACUGCAAGGCUUGAAUCUGGAAGAGGAGAGUGGAAUUCCGGUGUAGCGGUGAAAUGACGCAGAUAUCGGGAAGAACGACCCGUGGCGCAAGGCGGCUAGCUCUGGACGGUACUGGACGCUGAGACGCGAAAGCGUGGGGAGCGA